rnacentral:lncRNA from 1 species
ACACCGCACCGUCUUCCUCUUUUGCAGGUUCUGCUCUUGGAUUUUAUAUUACAGAGGAGAUGUGGCGCGACCACAUGGCUAGAGAGCAAAGGCGUGAUGACCUACUCUCUACCAUUCAGCAACAACUGGCAGAUAACAUGAGCUUCAUGCAAGAAUCACAGUGGAGGACAGAUCAAUCCUAUGAGACUGUUGUACAGACCCUGCUUGCGAUUUCAAACGAG